rnacentral:rRNA from 1 species
CAGCCGCCGCGGUAAUACGUAGGGGGCGAGCGUUGUCCGGAAUUACUGGGCGUAAAGGGCGUGUAGGCGGUAGAGCAAGUCAGGUGUGAAACCCCCGGGCUCAACUCGGGGCAUGCAUCUGAAACUGCGAUACUUGAGUGCAGGAGAGGGAAGCGGAAUUUCUGGUGUAGCGGUGGAAUGCGUAGAUAUCAGGAAGAACACCGGUGGCGAAGGCGGCUUUCUGGCCUGCAACUGACGCUGAGGCGCGAAAGCGUGGGGAGCGAACAGGAUUAGAUACCCUGGUAGUCCACGCUGUAAACGAUGGAUACUAGGUGUAGGUGGUAUCAAAGCCAUCUGUGCCGAAGUUAACACAUUAAGUAUCCCGCCUGGGGAGUACGGCCGCAAGGUUGAAACUUAAAGGAAUUGGCGGG